UUUCAUGUAUAUAUCCGUUUGGUUUGAUGUUUCGUGUUGUUUUCCUUGACUAUUUGUAUAAAGACAUGAGAAAUUAGCCUAGCUCUAGUGAACACCUGUUUUGCUUCACGUAGCUACAGCUUUGUAUAAUUGGCAAAAUUAUAAUUUAUAUGUUAUUUCACUUGCCUGUAAAACUGUAAAUUAUGGUUUUAAGUUAUUACAUUUGCCAUCUAAAUCACUUUAAAUUCACUGUCUUAGCUGCGAACAAAUGCUGCACCAGCAUCCUAAUGGACAGCCGUUAGGUUAAUCUGAAACACCUUUUUGUGACAAGACUAUAGAUCAUCUGCUGAAAUUGAUAUUUGCAAUUGUGACUCCACAAAGGUAGCUUCAAAGUAAAGAGCUCACUCCUUGCUCCCACCACAUCAAGGUCCUAUUAUUCCCUAGUCUUCUCUGUAUGUGAUAUUUUAAACUAUUGUCAGGUUUGAGCCCCCCGUCUGCCAAAGGAGCUUAUGUGCCAGAUGUUGGCUGGUUCAUUGAUUUUAAUACUAUUCAUUGUUCUUCCGGUGUCAGUUCUAUUCCUCUGAUAACUGGGAGUGGUUUGUUUGAUUUUUGUAAACGGUCAAACAUGUUUAAAAACAUAGAGGUGAUAUAAUGUUGCUCUUCAACUGUGGCUUUAUUGUUUAAUUCUUAUUUAACGUGACCUUCCUGGAGAAGUUUAGCAAAAGCAUUCCUUGUUCUUUCACCCUAUGCUUCACCACAUCAUUAGCCCCAUACUUUCACCAAGCUGCAAGUGCUUUUGGAUCUUGUCCAGUGCAAGAUUUAUAUUGAUGAGUUUUGUGUAUAGUGAUGAUGAUUAUUCCCUGCAUAAGGUAAUGAGGUGGAGCGGUUUCAAACCUAGCUGUUCCCAGCAUGGGAGUGGAUGCUAACACCUGCCUUCUCACACACACUUACACACACUCGCACACAUACACACACAAACUCCCUCUUUCUUUACUUAUUUCCAUCUCCACCUUUCUGUUUCUUUGUCACCUCAUCUUCAACCUUUUUGCACUGCUACACAUGAACACUUUCAAAUAUAAAAUUAUACAAAUAUACUUUCACCUUCACUCAUUUUGACAUACUCGCACUUACAGUCCCCUUCCUCUCUCCUAUAGGGACAAGCCAAGAUGAAUAUAACUCAUCCCAUAGGUUCACAGGAGGAGAGGGCAAACCCUGGAUGACAAAGAGUUGCAUCAGCAAUUACUGAGCGACAUGACUCCAAGAGAGGGAAGGGAGCCUGGGCAGUGCUUUAUGUGACAUCACAUCACCGUCUCUCAUCAGCACACUGACGAAUUGCGCAGUGCUCAUCUCUCCAACAGCAAGAUGCAACAGGUUCCUGCUAUCAAUAAAGGGCCGGUGGUGGUCAGCAGCGGCCAGCCGUGUCUUGCUGCACUGCAGACAAACAUGUACUAGUUGUCCAUGAUCGCAUGUGGAUCAACAAUGCUCUCUCCCUCAGGACGCAUUGACAAACAUGGGCAUUUUUGAAGAAUGAAUGUCUAAAGGUUGACAAUACUGUCAGGGGUGAGUAUAUUUAGUGGAGUAUAUUUCAAAUAAAGAUCCUCAAGUCGGAUAAAAAAGAGUUAUGUUGCUUGGGGAUAAGACCCUUGAAGUGGUCAUACAGAAUAAAAUACCACCUCAACUGAUGAAAAGCGUACCUCCUCUGAAGGGGUCAGGGUCAGUUCUGAGGACACCACACUGAUGGGCUUCUGAAUGUCUAAACGCAACAUCCAGAACCUCCUUCAGAUUAACCCGUCAUCACUUCCUCUCCUUUCUCAAAGCUGCAUCACUUCAUCACUUCAGUCUAUUCUUCCUCUCCUCCGUUCUUUCAACGCUCCUACAGUUUUCACAGGCUCCCUGGAUGACUCACAUGCGGCCCUCUGCACCACCUCUGCCCUCCCCCGUAACUCCAAAACAGAGAUACCCAGAACCUCACACUACAGGUCAGUCAGACCACCACAAUCAGCUCCUACUUAAGACCACACUCUCAUCCGGCACCUUUAAUUUUGGCUUAGUUGUACAUUUAAGCACCUGAACCGCUGUUAAUAUUUUCCAGCUACAUACACACAGUUUU